UACGUAGGGUGCAAGCGUUAUCCGGAAUUAUUGGGCGUAAAGAGCUCGUAGGCGGUUUGUCACGUCUGCUGUGAAAACAUGGAGGCUCAACCUCCAGCCUGCAGUGGGUACGGGCAGACUAGAGUGCGGUAGGGGAGAUUGGAAUUCCUGGUGUAGCGGUGGAAUGCGCAGAUAUCAGGAGGAACACCGAUGGCGAAGGCAGAUCUCUGGGCCGUAACUGACGCUGAGGAGCGAAAGCAUGGGGAGCGAACAGG
rnacentral:rRNA from 1 species